rnacentral:rRNA from 1 species
GACGAACGCUGGCGGCGUGCUUAACACAUGCAAGUCGAACGAUGAAGAUGGAGCUUGCUCCAGCGGAUUAGUGGCGAACGGGUGAGUAACACGUGAGCAAUCUGCCCUUGACUCUGGGAUAAGUGCGGGAACUUGUAGCUAAUACCGGAUACGAGUUUUGAAGGCAUCUUCAGAUCUGGAAAGAAUUUCGGUCAAGGAUGAGCUCGGGGCCUAUCAGCUAGUGGGUGAGGUAAUGGUGCGCAAAGGCGACGACGGGUAGCCGGCCUGAGAGGGUGACCGGCCACACUGGAACUGAGACACGGUCCAGACUCCUACGGGAGGCAGCAGUGGGGAAUAUUGCACAAUGGGCGAAAGCCUGAUGCAGCAACGCCGCGUGAGGGAUGAAGGCCUUCGGUUUGUAAACCUCUUUUAGUAGGGAAGAAGCGAAAGUGACGGUACCUACAGAAAAAGCACCGGCUAACUACGUGCCAGCAGCAGCCGCCGUAA